rnacentral:rRNA from 1 species
UGGGGAAUAUUGCACAAUGGGCGCAAGCCUGAUGCAGCCAUGCCGCGUGUAUGAAGAAGGCCUUCGGGUUGUAAAGUACUUUCAGCGAGGAGGAAGGCGUUGUGGUUAAUAACCGCAGCGAUUGACGUUACUCGCAGAAGAAGCACCGGCUAACUCCGUGCCAGCAGCCGCGGUAAUACGGAGGGUGCAAGCGUUAAUCGGAAUUACUGGGCGUAAAGCGCACGCAGGCGGUCUGUCAAGUCGGAUGUGAAAUCCCCGGGCUCAACCUGGGAACUGCAUCCGAAACUGGCAGGCUAGAGUCUUGUAGAGGGGGGUAGAAUUCCAGGUGUAGCGGUUAAAUGCGUAGAGAUCUGGAGGAAUACCGGUGGCGAAGGCGGCCCCCUGGACAAAGACUGACGCUCAGGUGCGAAAGCGUGGGGCUCAAACA